UCCGCCAGCAGCAAACUUGACGUCAUGGGCCAGGGCAUGCAGCGGCGUGCAUUACGUGGGUAUGGUGACUGUGUGGCCUCUGAUGUAGAGGUGUGUGAGCUGCUGGACGAGAGAAGAGCAAACGAAAAGUAAACAUGGGAUUGCUGCCGCCUCAGGACACUAGGAGCAUUGCGGAAGCGCUGAGGAAGACAUCACAACCCUUGACACAGCGAACACAACUCAGUACUGAGGCUGGCACUGGCUUCUCCCAACACCUCACGUGGUCAUUGCAACAAAAGAAGACCUCUGUGGAAUAUUUCGUGCCCAUCCAUGUGAGAGCAGGACCGCAGAGAAGACCAGCCGGCUGCCAGUGAAGACUGAUAACUUCCUAGUAAGCAGGAUCCUCCCGGUCCCAGCGGAGGUGUGGGAAGCGAGACGUAACACCGGAGAGAAUAAUUAUGUUGGCGGGAAGCCGAGGCGGGAGGCGGCGGUUGGUGUGAAGGAGAAAAUCUUUAGACGGGAGAGAAUUUGGGAGCGAGAAGCGGGGGCGGGGUGCGAGCGUGCGUGUGUGUUGAAGAACAAGAGGCAGGGAUAUAGAGGGAAGACACACACACACACACACACACACACACACACACACACACACACACACACACACACACACACACACACACACACACACACACACACACACACACACACACAAGCAAGGCCUCUCCUUUUCCCCGCCGGCCUUAAGGAACCAUCAACUUAUUAGCCCAUGCAGUUUCCCUCCCCAAACUUUAUCUCUUCGGCAACUUAAUGGUCGAGUAACACGGGCGGGUGGCGGGCGGCGCUUAGACAAGAACCUUAUUCCCUUUGAUAUAACGAGCCUUCCUUAGUAGUCCUGCGCCUCCUUUUGUUCCUCUUUUAUAAGGGAAUGCUCUUGAGAGGCUCUCCUGUGUGUGUGUGUGUGUGUGUGUGUGUGUGUGUGUGAAUAGAUAUUCAAAGCAUUCAUAAAUUACACGUACAUGCAUACAAAUUAAUGUAAACUAAUUCAAUAGCUAAUCAGUAUCUUUACUCUUUCAUCCCUCUCACUGACAGACCCUGGAUCUCUCUGCCUGAUUGACUCUUUCCUUCUUCCUAGGACUUCAACUAAUUUCGUUACCGGAAUAUCAAGACACCUCCUGAAGUACACUGGCCAACCUAACUGAAAAUCUUGAAAUCUAUUUGCAUCCAACUUUUAUAGAGGAGAAGUACUGAAGCGCCCUUUUUAUUCUUAGUUUCCGUAAUCUUUGACCAGCCACCAUUUUAUGUAAGGAGGAAAAUAAACUUGUACCGAAAACUAAUCGUAGUGAUAAGACACUCUACACGAAAACCCACUGGAGCCUUGGUCAUCUUUGCCUAAUCGCCAGCGUGUCAGAAUCACUUGUUUGACUGAAGUAAUCAUGUCGUGGUUCAGUUCUCGACAACGAAGCUACAGCCUGUGAUGUGCC